rnacentral:rRNA from 1 species
UAAAUUUUAUUUAUAUAAAUAUUGGUAUUGCAUAUCAUUAGAGGAAAAUUUCAUUUUAUGAAUUAUAGAAAUACAAGGUAGAGGGAUAAAUAGUUUUAUUGUUUCAUAAUAAAAAUAAUUAUUACCUAGAGUUGAUAUGUCGACUUGUAUGAUAACUGUAUAUUUUAUUAUAUUAGAAAAUUAUAUAAAUUGUUUUUUAUAUUGGAAAAAUAAAAUUUGAAGUGUUUAAAUUUUAUGUUUUACAACAUUUUCCGAUUUUUUUUUAUUUUUCUUUAAUUAAGUUAAUAAAACUUUAUUAACUAUAUAAUCUCUAAAUUAGUAAAAAUUUUAAAUUUAGUUUAAAUAUAGAAUAUAAUUGAAGAACUUGAAGUCUUGAUCAAAUGUUUUUUAAAGACUUAGGCUUUAAUUUAAAGCUGGCUUCUGCCCUAUGAAAUUUAAAUGGCAGUCUUAGCGUGAGGACAUUAAGGUAGCAAAAUAAUUUGUGCUUUUAUUGAGUUCCAGUAUGAAUGAAGUUAUUGGUUAGUUCUAUUUAUAUUUUAUUUUUGAAUUUAAUAUUUGUUUAAGAAAAAACAAAUACACUUACACAAAGAUAAGUCUUCGGAAAUUCUGUUAUCAUUUAUUCAUUAGUUUAUUUGAUAAAUUUUCUAGGGCAGAAUAUUAUAUAAUAGUAUUUCACUAUUGUUAAUUUAAAGAAUUACUCCGGAGUUAACAGAAAAUCAUACCUAAUCUAGUUCUUAUAGUAAGGUAAGUUUUACAUCGAUGUUGUAUUCAGGUAUUCUAAGAGAGGAGAAGAUUUAGUAAUUUAGACUGUUCUUCUAUUAAGUAACCUGACGUGAUAUUAGUUUAAUUCAUUGUGAGAUAGAAUUGUUUAUCUUGGUAAGUGUUUAUAUUUAAGGCAUUUAGUACGAAAGGAACAUUGUAAAAGUUUUAAACUUUAAAGAUUUUAAAAUCUUA